AUUGCAGAAUCCCGUGAACCAUCGAGUCUUUGAACGCAAGUUGCGCCCGAAGCCCUCGGGCCGAGGGCACGCCUGCCUGGGCGUCACGCAUCGCGUCGC
rnacentral:rRNA from 1 species